GACGAUCAAAUCUACUCCCCUGGAACUGCUGUGGUGGAGGUCUAGGUGGCCUACUAGAAUAUCGAGGUCUGGGACCACCCUGAAUAUCUCCAUAUGAACCAGCGGGCCUAUCCCUCUUUUGUCUCUCUCUAUCGACCCUCUCAGUCAUAUACUGUAGAUGUCGACGAUCCUCUAUGCCUUGUGCAAAGGCCUGAAUUCGCGAGAUAUCCAUAUUAUCAUUUAGUGCAGCGGUAGAACAAGCGUCGAUAUAAUCUGAGUCAAGCCCUCCCACA
rnacentral:lncRNA from 1 species